rnacentral:rRNA from 1 species
CAGGAUGAACGCUGGCGGCGUGCUUAACACAUGCAAGUCGAACGGUGAAGCCCAGCUUGCUGGGUGGAUCAGUGGCGAACGGGUGAGUAACACGUGAGCAACCUGCCCCUGACUCUGGGAUAAGCGCUGGAAACGGCGUCUAAUACUGGAUAUGUGACGUGGCCGCAUGGUCUGCGUCUGGAAAGAAUUUCGGUUGGGGAUGGGCUCGCGGCCUAUCAGCUUGUUGGUGAGGUAAUGGCUCACCAAGGCGUCGACGGGUAGCCGGCCUGAGAGGGUGACCGGCCACACUGGGACUGAGACACGGCCCAGACUCCUACGGGAGGCAGCAGUGGGGAAUAUUGCACAAUGGGCGCAAGCCUGAUGCAGCAACGCCGCGUGAGGGAUGACGGCCUUCGGGUUGUAAACCUCUUUUAGCAGGGAAGAAGCGAAAGUGACGGUACCUGCAGAAAAAGCGCCGGCUAACUACGUGCCAGCAGCCGCGGUAAUACGUAGGGCGCAAGCGUUAUCCGGAAUUAUUGGGCGUAAAGAGCUCGUAGGCGGUUUGUCGCGUCUGCUGUGAAAUCCGGAGGCUCAACCUCCGGCCUGCAGUGGGUACGGGCAGACUAGAGUGCGGUAGGGGAGAUUGGAAUUCCUGGUGUAGCGGUGGAAUGCGCAGAUAUCAGGAGGAACACCGAUGGCGAAGGCAGAUCUCUGGGCCGUAACUGACGCUGAGGAGCGAAAGGGUGGGGAGCAAACAGGCUUAGAUACCCUGGUAGUCCACCCCGUAAACGUUGGGAA